AGCAGCCGCGGUAAUUCCAGCUCCAAUAGCGUAUAUUAAAGUUGUUGCAGUUAAAAAGCUCGUAGUUGAAUUUCGGGAUCAAUAUGUUGGUCGUGCCUUGGUACGUACUGGCAUUAUUGGUUUCUACCUUCUGAAGAACCUCGAUGUCAUUAAUUUGGUGUCUUGGGGAAUCAGGACUGUUACUUUGAAAAAAUUAGAGUGUUUAAAGCAGGCUCGCGCUUGAAUACAUUAGCAUGGAAUAAUGAAAUAGGACGUUUGAUUCUAUUUUGUUGGUUUCUAGGAUCGACGUAAUGAUUAAUAGGGAUAGUUGGGGGCAUUAGUAUUCAAUUGUCAGAGGUGAAAUUCUUGGAUUUAUUGAAGACUAACUACUGCGAAAGCAUUUGCCAAGGAUGUUUUCAUUAAUCAAGAACGAAAGUUAGGGGAUCGAAGACGAUCAGAUACCGUCGUAGUCUUAACCAUAAACUAUGCCGACUAGGGAUCGGAUGAUGUUAAUUUUAUAAUGACUCAUUCGGCACCGUUA
rnacentral:misc_RNA from 1 species